AUUGAACGCUGGCGGCAUGCCUUACACAUGCAAGUCGAACGGCAGUACGGGAGCAAUCCUGGUGGCGAGUGGCGAACGGGUGAGUAAAGUAUCGGAACGUGCCCAGUCGUGGGGGAUAACGUAGCGAAAGCUACGCUAAUACCGCAUACGAUCUAUGGAUGAAAGCGGGGGAUCGCAAGACCUCGCGCGAUUGGAGCGGCCGAUAUCAGAUUAGGUAGUUGAUGGGGUAAAGGCCCACCAAGCCGACGAUCUGUAGCUGGUCUGAGAGGACGACCAGCCACACUGGGACUGAGACACGGCCCAGACUCCUACGGGAGGCAGCAGUGGGGAAUUUUGGACAAUGGGCGCAAGCCUGACCCAGCAAUGCCGCGUGCAGGAUGAAGGCCUUCGGGUUGUAAACUGCUUUUGUACGGAACGAAAAGGCUCUCACUAAUACUGGGGGCUCAUGACGGUACCGUAAGAAUAAGCACCGGCUAACUACGUGCCAGCCGCCGCGGUAA
rnacentral:rRNA from 1 species